rnacentral:rRNA from 1 species
UACGAAGGGGGCUAGCGUUGCUCGGAAUCACUGGGCGUAAAGGGUGCGUAGGCGGGUCUUUAAGUCAGGGGUGAAAUCCUGGAGCUCAACUCCAGAACUGCCUUUGAUACUGAGGAUCUUGAGUUCGGGAGAGGUGAGUGGAACUGCGAGUGUAGAGGUGAAAUUCGUAGAUAUUCGCAAGAACACCAGUGGCGAAGGCGGCUCACUGGCCCGAUACUGACGCUGAGAUGCGAAAGCGUGGGGAGCAAACAGG